rnacentral:tRNA from 1 species
UCCCUGGUGGUCUAGCGGCUAAGGAUCCUGCGCUCUCACCACCACAGCCCAGGUUCAGUUCCUGGGCAGGGAA